CUGCUAGCAGGUCAAUUCUGCUCAGUAGGAGUGGGUCGCUGCCAUGUAGAAAUUUGACUCCUGACGC
rnacentral:snoRNA from 1 species